ACUUGAGCCCGAGCAGUAAAAAGCUCUCUACCUAUUGGCCGAUGUGUUUUCCGAUGCUAGACACAGGGAUGCAGAGAGGAAGGGGUUGAGGAGCUGGAGAUGGCAAGUGGUGAUGGAGCAAGAUGCGCCGACCGGGAGAUCGAGGGUGAAUAGCAGUGAGGACGACCGAGGAUUAGCAGUGUCCUUCCACUGGCCCCAGUGACUGCAUCAGGAGCCAAAGACAGACUGAAUAACAUGAUGAAAGUAGAUUCGCGGCUCUACAAAGACUCCAAUCAAAAGUUCUACCAUACCUAUGAGGAACAUCUUGAGAACUCUAGCAAAAGGACUUACAGGAUCUGUUACCUCUUUACCAUCCCUCUGUAAGCUUGAGCCCAGUUUCCCUUGGGCUUUAUAUAUACUGUAAAUAUUCAGGUGAUCUGAAAGACAAAGCUGUUGUUGUUUGUCCUUCAUUCUCGAAGAGAAUGGAAGACAGAGCAGCAAUGUGAAGACAUGGAACUCAGGAGAAAGAAGAGAACUGGAUAUGUAAAUCUGGGAGUUGUCUGUGUAGAAAUUAUAUUUAAAUGCAUGGGAGCUAAUGAAUUUGGUUACCAAGAGACAUAUCAUAUAGACAAGUUAAUAGUAGGGCCAAGGUUAUAGCCUUAGGUAACAAUCACAGUGAGGGAGUAGGACAUGGGUGAUUAUAUAGCAAAGGAGAUUCAAAAAUAACAAUGACAUAGAAUAGAAGCAGAAGAAUCAAGAGAGAACAGAAUUUCAGAAGCUAAAGGAGGAAAGAGCAUCCAGAAGAAAGGUACAGUCAGCAGUAUCAAACACUGCACCGAUGUCAAGUAGAAUUAGGACUAAGAUAAAUGGACUUAACAGUUAAAAGAACCUUGGUAACCUUAGAGAGUCGGUUUUAGUUGAGUGAUGGGUUUGGAAACCAGAGUCUUAGUGAUUACAAAAGUAUUUCAAGUGGAAUAGGAAGUGAGGAAAUGGAGGCAUUGGUAACACUGCCUUGGCCAUACCUAAUCCAACCAUCCCCAGGAUCAAAAGGCUAGAGAUGGUUUUAGGUGGAGGUCUCCCACAGUUCCCCUCCUCAGUCUCUUGGGGAGAUUUUCCCCAGAAAUUGGGACUGGGAGAGAGCCUGAUUUAGAUUGACAAGAUAGCCCCUCACAUUCUAAAGAACUGUGGGGAAGAGGAGAAGCCACAUGAAACCUGGAGAAGGGAGUCAUGUGUUCAGUUCUAAGGACCUCAUUUUAGGAAGGAACUGAUGAACAGUACUGCAACCAGAAAAGGGAAAACGGGAUGGUGAACAGACUGGAGACCCUCCCAUAAAAAAAUCUACAGAACAAAGUUGGGAUUUUUAGCUUGGAGAAGAGAAAACUUACAGGGGACAUUAUAGCUGUCUUUAAGAGUUUGAAGGGCAGAGAAAGGAUCAGACUUGUUCUUUUCUAUCCCAGAGGAUAAAACCAGGAGCAAUAGGUAGAAAUUGCAAAGAGGUAAAUUUAGACUUGAUGCCAAGAAAAACUUCCUCACAAUGAGUUGUCCUAGAAUAGAAAGGACUCCCUUAAGAAGUGCUGGGCUCCCCCCUCCUCGGAGGUCUUCACAUCGAAGCUGAAUGACUGCUUGUUGGGUGUAUCAUAGUGGAGAUGUCUUUCAUCUGUGAGUUGCACUAGAUGGUUACUGAGGUCCCUUCCGACUUUCAAAUUCUUUAAUGCUGUUGUGUGCGUUAACUCUCCUCUUCACACUGAAGGGAGGACUCAAACUACACUGCCUAGAACUGGCUGGGGACAAAGGGAGACUUCCCAGGUUUAGGAGAGUGAUGAGCUCUCAGCUGCUUGGUAGAUAUAUAUUUAUUAUUAUAUGUUGUGUUAUCUGGCUAUUCAGUACUACUUACUUACGUAUUGAGUCUUUAUUAAGAGCAAAACUGUUAUGUUAAAAAUGUAUCUUUGUUCUGGUCUUCUUGACCAACCCUCCCCACCCCCCCACCCCAUCUCUCCACACCCUCACCCAGAAUCCAAUCAGCAGGUUUAUAAGUAGCCAGUAUAAAAUAUAUAUAAAUUAUAUUAUAAAAUAAGAUUGCCAAGGGGAACCUGGAAGUCAUGUAUAAAUCAUCCCAAAGAUCAAAGGAGGAUUAUUUACAAAUUGUAUCAUAUAUUAACUAAUAUUCACAUCCUGGUAAUAUGUGAUCAAUCAGGAAGAGCCAUCUAGGUGCUGCUUGUCAAGGUUUCUGGUCCUAUGAUAUGUAAAUUCCAGACAAAUUCCAGACCUCCACAGCUCUAGACUAGUACAACAUCAAAAAGUACUGAUACCUUUGCAGUUUUACCCAUAACUUUGAGAUGAUUUGAAUACGUUGAUAAACUAACUCCUGUAUGGCACAGAUAGAAGUUGCUCUGUUUCCCAAAAAAAAACCCUAUAAAAAUGAGACCUCAAAGUCCUACACUGUAAGUAAAGUGAAUUUUAGUGUGUACAAAGUGGAUUUUUUGUUACUCUUUCUUAGAGUUUUCUUCCCAGGAUCUAUAGCCAUAACAAUCUCUACUUCCCAGGUGUUAGAUAUGAGUUCUCACGAUCAUGGUUCAAGACACUUUCUACUGUACAACCACACAGUAAAUAUGGGGAUGAAGUGGUGUAAAAUUGUGAGGCUAUUGCUGGCAGUAUGCCUUCUUUGUCUGUUGCCCUAUAAAGCAAGUGGGUACUGGUCAGUGACUAGGGACCCCCGUAGGGGUGAAUGUGCAGGCUGAAUGCUGUGCCUACCCCCAUCAAGGCCUGGCUGGGGUGGGGUGGGGGGCGCCACUGAGGCUUGAGGGGAUUCAGGGGGAGUACACAAGUUGUGCUGGUCUCAGUUGGCCCCAUUGAAAUGAGGCAUACUUGCCCCACUUCACACCAGCCCCUGAAAGAGGGGUCAUUAGGGAAUACUGUAGGAGUUGGUGCUCCCAUUAUCAGCAAACUCCCUUUGAGAGGACUAGACUUGAAUAAAGUAAGCUUAUUUAACCCCUUAUUAUGACUCCAUUCCUGUCUUCCUGUCUGACCAGAUCAAAAGAGAACCUGCUAGUAAGAAAGGUGCUAGAAGCCCUCCUGUGUCUCCUUCCUAAGAAAUGGCUUAGUAGGUGUAUUUAUUUGUCCAACAUACACUCAAACCCCCGUGCUCUUCCAUCAGGUCCAUGCUACCUAGUGCUCCCAACUCCAGUCCAUGCUUACAUGACUGAUAUUCUUUGCCUUUCCUCCUCCCCAUCUUCUUUUCCAGGCUACCUACCUUUACCAUCCCAUCCCUUGUUUCCAUACCGCUGUCUGCCUCUGUAUCCCUCCCCACUUUUUGACACUUGUCUCUGGCUUUAUGGGCUUUUUACCCCCAUAUCCUCUGUCUUUAAAGUGUGAAUGCUGCCAUUUUCCACAGCCAAUUGUGGUCCCAAUAAGUACCCAAAGAACUGGGUUGUACCUGCCCCCAUUUCAUAAUUUUAUAAAUUCAUAAUCAAUUCAAAUAGGAUGUAUAGCAUUCUAACAUGUGAUAGGAUAUAUGGUAGAAACUAGCUCCAUUAUGCUAUAGUCACUGACUAGGGAUCACUGAAAUCGGAAUGCCCAAAAAGAGGCAGGGGCUGUGAGUUAAGUUCUAAUGGAUAGAUUUCACAUGUGAACCACCACCUGGAGUGAGAGUCGAAGAUAAAGGAUAAGAAGCCUCAGACUUUCUGAUCACCAUACAGCAUAGCACUUAUUAAACAUGAACACUUCCACUCAGCAGGAAAUAUACAAACUUCCAGGGUGAGUAAGGAAGUCAACAGUAUCUAUCAGUGCUGUCUGGUGGUUAAAUUUAAAACACGAAUAAUAUUUGCAGGGUGGCUGUCAUAAAAGCCUUUUGUAAAGUGUGAUGUAAAAGUCAGCCAUUACAAUUAUUAAAUCACUUCUUCAAAAGCAAUUUGGAAUUUUUUUUAAAUCUGCACUUUUCUUCCAGUGUUUGGAUAGUGACUAAACUUUAAUUUUUUUUUUAAUAAGCAAUGAAACACAAAGAAGCCCCAGAAUAUGGGUAGUUUUAUUUUAUAAGUUAAGAAUUAAUGAAAUGCUAUUAGGGAAAUAUUAGGAAAGCUAUUCAAGCUCUAAGUGAAAUUAUGCUAUUUUAGGUAAAAAUUCCUGGGACUGUAAAUUUACUGUUGUUUUGAGUUUUGAUUCCUGGGAUAGUUAUCUGAACAGUCAUAAAGCCAAUAGCAGAAAGUGACAUGUGUGGCAGUCUGAGAACUGCUUAAAGGUAGAUGUUUGUGCCUGGGAAAGGUUGUGAGGAUAACCUAGGACACAGCCUGCAUAGGAUCCUCCUGACUCUAUUUCCCCAUUGUGCUAUUUCCUUGCUGAAAAGAAAAAUUCCCCAUCUGGUUAAUCCCAAGCCUUGCCUUUGACACUCUCUGGCUACAUUAUUGGCUGUUAGAUAUGACUCAUGCCUGUAAUCAAAUAAAGCUAAGAGAAUUUUUCCCCAACAGAACUAAGGGAGUUUUUCCCUCUGUUACAAUAUAAUUAUAUCCCUCUUUUUGCUUUUGUAGCAAAUUUCUAUAAUCAAGAAGUUUUAUAAAUAACCACACUAAGUUUAUUAAAUAAUAGAUUGAUACUGGAACAUCUGUGAGUUAUUAUAAUAGGAUUCAAGUAUGAACAUCUUACAGUUUUAACCUAUAUUUAUGGUCAAUUUAUAAGGACGAUAUCCUUUAAAAGGGGGAAAUUAUUAGACAAGGUGAUAAGACAAAGAUGUUAAUGUUUAAGUUUUCUUGGUUACCUUGAUGACAUGUAAAUCUCACUUCUCAGAACUAGUCCAUUGUGAGCCCUCCAAUAAUUUGAUCUGUACCUGACUUAAUGUAAUUAUGCAAUUAUGGUAAUUGUGAGAAAAACUUUAUUGCAUUGUUUAAUCCUACAUCUUCUGAAGCAAGCCCCUGCUCCUGGACGAAGAAGCAGCCCACAUCCAGAUGAGACAGCUGUCCCAAGUUUCCAAAGGAAGACCGAGUCUACUCUCUUAGCUUUUUUUUCUCUCUCUCUCCCCCUUUUGUUAUGCAGCCAAGCACCAAAGUCGCAUUCAAGCCUGUGUUGGCAUUUUCUCACUGUGACAUUGUUGGGCCCCAUCCCCCUUUCAAACAAUGGUUAGCAAUGACACCUGGGAUAUACUUCCCUGACAGGUCCCCUUAAGGAACUAACCCCUUGGACAAUAUCCCAUGGCACCUUGGUUUAUAACUGCCUCUCCUUUAUUGGCCAUAAAGGGUAGGGGGUUUUUCAGACACCCCCCCCCCCUUUGGCCAAAAAAGGGGAAAUGUCAAAAUAUUUUGGAGAUACUCUGUUUCCCAGAGCUAAGGCCCAGCAAGCGGGCUGUAUCCUGAGCUUGACAUAACAAUAAUCCUUUGUGCUCAGGAUGAUAUCACCCUCUGGCAAAGUAUUUUACUUGGACCAGCAGCAGGUAUUAACUGAGGGAUUAAGCUCCCCUUAUUUCCCAGGGCCAUUCAUCACAUAUUCACAAUACCUGUUUCUUGUCACUGCCAGGUACUACACUCCUGUUCCUGUGACAGAACUCUGGUUCUGUGCCCCACAAGGUAGGCAAGACCCCCAAGACGUGAGACAAUACUGUUUCCCCAAGGCCCAUGGGAACAGUAACUCAGGACCUAAAAAUGAUUAUAUCAUGGUCCAGUCAAGGAUCUAUAUAAGACUUGCUUUUAGUCUAGCUGGAGGUGGGGAGGAGGGGGGCCUUCUCUAUGUAUAUGACAUUUUCCUCAAUCUGAAAUUAAUUAAACUUCUGUUUUGUG